AGGACGAACGCUGGCGGCGUGCCUAACACAUGCAAGUCGAGCGGGGACAUGCGACGGAGGCGAAGUACUCGUACGGAGUCAAAGAUGUAAUGUUCUAGCGGCGGACGGGUGAGUAACGCGUGAGCAACCUGUCCCUUACAGGGGGAUAACACAGCGAAAGUUGUACUAAUACCGCAUAAGACCACAGGAUGACAUCGUCCAGGGGUCAAAGGAGCAAUCCGGUAAGGGGUGGGCUCGCGUCCGAUUAGAUAGUUGGUGAGGUAACGGCCCACCAAGUCGACGAUCGGUAGCCGACCUGAGAGGGUGAUCGGCCACAUUGGGACUGAGACACGGCCCAAACUCCUACGGGAGGCAGCAGUGGGGAAUAUUGGGCAAAUGGGGGAAACCCUGACCCAGCAACGCCGCGUGAGGGAAGAAGGUUUUCGGAUCGUAAACCUCUGUCCCAGGUGAAGAGGAAGAGACGGUAGCCUGGGAGGAAGCCCCGGCUAACUACGUGCCAGCCGCCGC
rnacentral:rRNA from 1 species